AUGAGCGGCGGACGGGUGAGUAACACGUAAGGAACCUGCCUCAAGGAUUGGGAUAACUCCGAGAAAUCGGAGCUAAUACCGGAUAGUUCAACGGACCGCAUGGUCCGCUGAUGAAAGGCGCUCCGGCGUCACCUUGAGAUGGCCUUGCGGUGCAUUAGCUAGUUGGUGGGGUAACGGCCCACCAAGGCGACGAUGCAUAGCCGACCUGAGAGGGUGAUCGG
rnacentral:rRNA from 1 species